CUCGGUGUGGCGCAGAUGGCAGCGCGCGUGAUUUGGGAUCACGAGGCCGCAGGUUCGCUCUGCGCGGCUUGCCGCGCAGGACGUUGCGAAGCAACGGGCCGAAGGCCGAGCGCGAAGCGCGAGCAGACCUGCCACCGAGACCA
rnacentral:tRNA from 1 species